GCACAAAAGCAGCAUCCAAGAAAGGUCUAGUCCUUUAGGAGCAAAGAUGGGCCGAGGAUCGCCAGUUUGCCAACAAAUAUGUGAGAAAAUUAUUGAAAUGUUUACACCUUCAACAGUGCAUAACAUAAUUAAAAGAUUCAAGGAAUGUGGAGGAAUUUCAAUGCGUAAAGGACAAGGGCGCAAGCCUAAGCUGAACAACCGUGAUCUCCGAUCCCUCAGGCGGCACUGCAUCAAGAAUCGUCAUUCAUCUAUAAGCGAUAUCACCACAUGGGCUCAGGACUACUUUGGCAAACCUUUGUCAAGUACCACAAUACGUAGUUAUAUCCACAAAUGCCAGUUAAAACUGUACUGUGCCAAAAGGAAGCCCUAUGUUAACAGUGUCCAGAAGCGCCUACUGUGGUCAGAUGAAUCAGUAUUUCAGGUAUUUUUUGGGAGAAAUGGACGCCGUGUGCUCCGGACCAAAGAAGAAAAGGAUCAUCCAGACUGUUACCAGCAACAAGUCCAAAAGCCAGGGUCUGUCAUGGUAUGGGGUUGUGUCAGUGCCCUUGGCAAAGGUAACUUGCACUUCUGUGACGGCACCAUUAAUGCUGAAAAGUACAUAGAGAUUUUGGAGCACAAUAUGCUGCCUUCAAGAAGACAUCUUUUCCAGGGACGUCCAUGCAUAUUUCAACAAGAUAAUGCAAAACCACAUUCUGCACACAUUACAAAGUCCUGGAGGAAGAGGAUACGGGUACUUGACUGGCCUGCCUGCAGUCCCGACCUGUCUCCAAUAGAGAAUGUGUGGCGCAUUUUGAAGCGCAAAAUGCGACAACGAAGACCCCGUACUGUUGCCCACCUUAAGACUUGUUUGCAGCAAGAAUGGGACAAAAUUACACCUGAAACACUUCAUCACUUGGUGUCUUCAGUCCCUAAACGUCUUUUAAGUGUUGUGAAAAGGAAUGGCAACAUUACAAAGUGGUAAAUGCUUUACUGUUCCAACUUUUUUUGAAAUGUGUUGCAAGAACCAAAAUAGGAAUUUUGUU